CGCAGCCGCGGUAAUUCCAGCUCCAAUAGCGUAUAUUAAAGUUGUUGCAGUUAAAAAGCUCGUAGUUGAAUUUCGGGAUCAAUAUGUUGGUCGUGCCUUGGUACGUACUGGCAUUAUCGAUUCCUACCCUCUGAAGAACCUCGAUGUCAUUAAUUUGGUGUCUUGGGGAAUCAGGACUGUUACUUUGAAAAAUUAGAGUGUUUAAAGCAGGCUCGCGCUUGAAUACAUUAGCAUGGAAUAAUGAAAUAGGACGUUUGAUUCUAUUUUGUUGGUUUCUAGGAUCGACGUAAUGAUUAAUAGGGAUAGUUGGGGGCAUUAGUAUUCAAUUGUCAGAGGUGAAAUUCUUGGAUUUAUUGAAGACUAACUACUGCGAAAGCAUUUGCCAAGGAUGUUUUCAUUAAUCUAAGAACGAAAGUUAGGGGAUCGAAGACGAUCAGAUACCGUCGUAGUCUUAACCAUAAACUAUGCCGACUAGGGAUCGGAUGAUGUUAAUUUUUAAUGACUCA
rnacentral:rRNA from 1 species